rnacentral:rRNA from 1 species
CCUGCACCUGCCAGCGACCGGCGCACGGGUGAGUAACACGUAUGGAACCUGCCCGCCACAGGGGGAUAACCCGGGGAAACCCGGCCUAAUACCCCAUGCCGCCCGGACCGGGCAUCCGGUCCGGGCGAAAGGAGGAAUCCGGUGGCGGCUGGGCAUGCGGCGCAUUAGCUUGACGGCGGGGUAACGGCCCACCGUGGCGACGAUGCGUAGGGGUUCUGAGAGGAAGGCCCCCCACACUGGAACUGAGACACGGUCCAGACUCCUACGGGAGGCAGCAG